rnacentral:rRNA from 1 species
CGCUUCUUUUUCCACCGGAGCUUGCUCCACCGGAAAAAGAGGAGUGGCGAACGGGUGAGUAACACGUGGGUAACCUGCCCAUCAGAAGGGGAUAACACUUGGAAACAGGUGCUAAUACCGUAUAACAAUCAAAACCGCAUGGUUUUGAUUUGAAAGGCGCUUUCGGGUGUCGCUGAUGGAUGGACCCGCGGUGCAUUAGCUAGUUGGUGAGGUAACGGCUCACCAAGGCCACGAUGCAUAGCCGACCUGAGAGGGUGAUCGGCCACAUUGGGACUGAGACACGGCCCAAACUCCUACGGGAGGCAGCAGUAGGGAAUCUUCGGCAAUGGACGAAAGUCUGACCGAGCAACGCCGCGUGAGUGAAGAAGGUUUUCGGAUCGUAAAACUCUGUUGUUAGAGAAGAACAAGGAUGAGAGUAACUGUUCAUCCCUUGACGGUAUCUAACCAGAAAGCCACGGCUAACUACGUGCCAGCAGCCGCGGUAAUACGUAGGUGGCAAGCGUUGUCCGGAUUUAUUGGGCGUAAAGCGAGCGCAGGCGGUUUCUUAAGUCUGAUGUGAAAGCCCCCGGCUCAACCGGGGAGGGUCAUUGGAAACUGGGAGACUUGAGUGCAGAAGAGGAGAGUGGAAUUCCAUGUGUAGCGGUGAAAUGCGUAGAUAUAUGGAGGAACACCAGUGGCGAAGGCGGCUCUCUG